UCCUCAGUAGCUCAGUGGUAGAGUGGUUGUCUGUUAACUGACUGGUCGUAGGUUAAAAUCCUACUUGGGGAG
rnacentral:tRNA from 1 species